UACGUAGGGUGCAAGCGUUGUCCGGAAUUAUUGGGCGUAAAGAGCUCGUAGGCGGUCUGUCGCGUCGGCUGUGAAAACCCGGGGCUCAACCCCGGGCCUGCAGUCGAUACGGGCAGACUAGAGUUCGGCAGGGGAGACUGGAAUUCCUGGUGUAGCGGUGAAAUGCGCAGAUAUCAGGAGGAACACCGGUGGCGAAGGCGGAUCUCUGGGCCAUUACUGACGCUGAGGAGCGAAAGCGUGGGGAGCGAACAGG
rnacentral:rRNA from 1 species